GAAGAAGAGCAGAACGUCACCAGUAGGCAGCAGUUCUGUGAUGCACUGCGGUCAAUCCCUGACGUGCAGCAGAGGAGGAGGUGUAUGCUGACCCGGGAGGAUCCCAACAGCAGGCAAGAAGGGAAGAGGAGGAUGCGCAGCAAGCAGCAGAGCCCAGCCCAGCCCAGGAUCCAGCGCAGCCCACACCAGCCAGCCCAUCCCACCAGAGGAUCCAAUGCCGUUACCAGGCAGCCUAACAGAGAAGCAUUUUGAAUUUAUUUCUUUCCUUCUGUCUCUUCUCUGUCUUCUGUGCACUUCCCUAAUCUAACAGCACUAACCAUCCCCUACCCCUUAACAUCGAUUUUGUUGUAAUUUCCUUGAAUUUGUGUGCUUUGUUUCAUUGUUUUGAAUUUUUACUAAUCUCGUCUCAGUUGUAUAUUUUCAGGCACUCGGACGUGGUACAACGCGGGAGCACCCAGCCAGCCUCCAGCCACCCAGCCAGCCACAGAUGAAGAGGAAGGAGCCCAUUGCCCAGCUUUGUCUAGCGGCUUACAUUUGCCAAGGCGGAGCGUCGAUCCCACCGAGACAUUCAGCAGCAUUCUGGGUAGCAAGGAUCGACUGCGACCGCACAGCAGUCAAGAAGAGGAUGUGCAGCUAGCAGUAGAGCCCAUCUGAGCCCAGCCCAGCAGAGGAUCCAGGAGAUCCAGCACAUCACUUCAAAGGGCCAUAACUCUGCUGUUCAGAUGACAAAUCCAAUGAGACUUCAGAGGGGUGUGUGG